GCAAAGGUGUGUUUAGCAGCGGUUUGAAAGGAGGUGUACAUUUAACAAAAGACCCUAAAGAGGUAGGACAGCUUGCUAAACAGAUGAUUGGAUAUAAUCUUACAACGAAGCAAACUCCAAAAGGUGGUGUUAAAGUUAAGAAGG